rnacentral:tRNA from 1 species
ACCUGCUCUGGGUGAUGUUCAACCUCGCCGUGUUGGGGGCGGCGGUGGCCGUGGCGACGGAAGUGAAGCAGGUGCGGCGCACGCACCGGGUG